ensembl:lncRNA WASF3-AS1 WASF3 antisense RNA 1
GUAAGCCCACCUGAGCCACAGAACCUUCUCCCUCCCUACAAAAGGCUCAGGAGUAGGAGGCACCAGACAGCUUUUAUCGUCUCUAACACUAACUCAGUUUUGAAUAAAUUGAAGAGCGAGGAAGAGUCAAAGGAAAAAAUGCUGGUUUCUCUGUUGUGGGAAGAAAUCUCGGAGUAAAAGUGAAGAACAACGUAUCAUGGGUGGGGAUACAGAAGUGGUGUGGGAGCCUGUGAAGAUCAAGCCUUUGGUCUCCCUGCCUUUCUCUUCUAGCCAUGGACAGGAAAUGAUGAAAAAGAUGUACAUUUAAAAUAUGUGCAACAAUACUACAGGACUACAAAUGAUAGAUAACCUCCAAAGUUGAAAGGCAACGGGAUGAGAUUAAAGGAAGAAACCACAAGCCAAAAAUAUGACAGGAAGGACUGUGGCCACGAGAUGUGUGGUUGGAGAACCACAAUGAAAAGAUCUUGGCAAUUUACACCAGAGAAAUACAAAUGGCAGCCAACCAUCAAAUUGUCCUUUGAAAGAAUUAUAUCUAAUAAAACUAGGAAU